rnacentral:rRNA from 1 species
GACGUAGGGCGCGAGCGUUGUCCGGAUUUAUUGGGCGUAAAAGAGCUCGUAGGCGGCUUGUCGCGUCGUCCGUGAAAAACCCACAGCUCAACUGUGGGCUUGCGGUCGAUACGGGGCAGGCUAGAGUGUGGUAGGGGGAGAUCGGAAUUCCUGGUGUAGCGGUGAAAUGCGCAGAUAUCAGGAGGAACACCGGUGGCGAAGGCGGGCCUUCUGGGAC